rnacentral:rRNA from 1 species
UACGUAGGGACCAAGCGUUGUUCGGAUUUACUGGGCGUAAAGGGCGCGUAGGCGGCAAUUCAAGUCAGCUGUGAAAUCUCCGGGCUUAACUCGGAACGGUCAGCUGAUACUGCUUUGCUAGAGUGCAGAAGGGGCAAUCGGAAUUCUUGGUGUAGCGGUGAAAUGCGUAGAUAUCAAGAGGAACACCUGAGGUGAAGACGGGUUGCUGGGCUGACACUGACGCUGAUGUGCGAAAGCUAGGGGAGCGAACGGG